rnacentral:lncRNA from 1 species
CGAGAACAGAGAUCUCGGGGCUGGGGAUGACUGUAAGGAUGAAUUGUCCCAACCCAGGUCACCAGGUCCUCCACCCAGGGAUCUCGAAGUCGCCUUGAACCGAAGCGCAAUCAUCUUGCACGACUCAUCUAGCCAAAGAUCCAGAAGCAGCACCAGUAUCAGCACAAGCAUCAGCAACAGCAGCGGCACCACGAGCAACAUCAGCAUCAUCUCGUUCUACUACAUAGAUGAAGUGGAUAGGUGACUUAUACUUUUUUACUGUGUUUUACUUAUCACAAUAUGUACUAUAAAAUUGAAGACAACAUGUCUUGUAAAGAAUUACUAGGUUAAAGAGCAGUUAAUUAUGGCCGACAGUUCGAUCACAGACAGGAAGUUGGUCGGACAGCCUCUUGCAAAGUUGACAAUAGCUGUCGAAUGUUUAUCAUCACUUAUUAUUAAUUAUUUAACAAAUCAUACAACUAACUAUAAGACAUGCCUGUGACUUAUUCGCGUCAGAGCCGAUGCGUUUAAUCGUUAAAAUAUAGGAAGCUUUUUCAUUUACUUUGCAUUAAACUUGGUAUGAGACUGAGACAAACGAAAGGGAGCAGGACUAAUAUUUGAGAUACUUUUUGUACGAACAUCCUGAUCCCCUCCAUAUGCGUCCUCAUCUCGCGUAAAGUCAGUGACACUAUGGAAGCAGUGACACUAUGGAAGCAAUGACACUAUUGAAGCAAUGACACUAUUGAAGCAUGCACGCUGCCAGAUUACCUGCUAGAAACUGUAAACCGGUGGGUAGACAAUGACAAUUCUUCAUACAGUAAUGUUAUUGUAUUCCUCCUCAUUCGAGAGUUCCUGAAGCACACUCCGCCACCUUCUCAGGUACCUAUAUUGUCAAGAGUUCGUAAACCUGUGAUUAUCCACCCUUCCUUACAAUACAAUACAGAUCUAAUGAAUUUGUGUUGGAAGUUUAUAUGAAAUUGCCGUGGCAUAUUUCUUGUUAUAUGUUUAUUUCCCUUCGGGAAUACGUGCUACAGCUACGGGAAUAUGUGCAAGAGUUACGAAUAGAUAACAUGUCAUGUGGACUGAAUCGCGAACUUUAGAUAAACAAAUGUGCUUUCUUCAACAGCCAAUUCCAACAAAAGGAAGUCUAGGAUUCGCCGCAUGGGAAGAGUGAUUCUCAGGGGCCUACGUAGAUUGGCCCAGCCAUUUGUCACGUGCUGCCACGGAUGCCGCUGAUGUGGAAACUGCUUGGGUGUGUUCUUGUUUGUGGACUGGCUGACAUCUUUACAUUGAUCAGAAAAAUCUGCAUUUAUUUUCAAUAUCUUUUCAUGCACAUCGGAAGCAUUUCUCGUAAUUCUAAAAUAAUAAUUUAAUUGUAACUGAAGUAAGUAUAAAAUUCAAAUAUCUGACGAUGUCGGGUUGUCGUCCGGGUAAGUUGUCAAGCCAGGAACUGACCCAGUACCCGGAAGCGGCUGACCGGGUGACCGAGUUGUGAUGUUCCUCAUCCACCCUCCGACUGUCUGACGACCCCCACCCCUCCUCAGGGCGAGGUCUCGUCGGUCAACUGGUCAGUCUGACCGGGUGUUGCGUUGUACAGUCCUGAUUGCACUCGUCUGGUGAUAGUCUAGCUUCGUCCUUCAAUGUCGAAAUUCGAAAUUAUCUUUGGAAUACUCAAAUUUCUGGCACAUUGGCACACGUUUUUCUUUUUGGGGUAAUUGUAGGAUGUCAGUUCAGUCAGCAUGCUUGAACACCUACAGGCCGUCACUACACUAAGCACUACAUUGUAUCUCUGUUUGUUUACUUUUCGUCAUGUUCAUGUUUUAUUAAAUAUAAUGAACUUAGUAACGGCGUUGUGUAAUUGUGUCGUGGAUUACACGCGGUCAGUGGUAUGAUGGGUCUUAUAGUCUUGUCCAUGGGAGAUCGG